rnacentral:misc_RNA from 1 species
GUCAGAUUGAAUCUAGACCUGCCCAUGGUAAGAAAUCUUACUCUCAUGAUAGGAUUAUGGAAGGCCUAAAUAUUACUGAUGAAAUACUGAGCCCUAACUCAGUCACUAGGCAACUUAGCGACCAAAUUUCUCUUGCAAAAGCUUUUGUUGUGAUUGCAAAAGAGAGCAACAAUCUGCAAUUUGCUUGGGAAUUAAGUGCCCAGAUUCGCAAUUCACAGGUCCUGCUUUCUAGUGCUGCAACAAGACGAGCUCCAUUGACAACCAGAGAAUCAGAAACUGCAAUCCGUGAUAUGGGGCUUUUGCUCUACCAAGCCCAACAGCUGCACUAUGAUAGUGCAACUAUGAUCAUGAGACUGAAAGCC